UACGGAGGGUGCGAGCGUUGUCCGGAAUCACUGGGCGUAAAGGGCGCGUAGGCGGCCUGAUAAGUAGGGGGUGAAAUCCUGCGGCUUAACCGCAGGGCUGCCUUCUAAACUGUCAGGCUGGAGCACAGUAGAGGCAGGUGGAAUUCCCGGUGUAGCGGUGGAAUGCGUAGAGAUCGGGAAGAACAUCAGUGGCGAAGGCGGCCUGCUGGGCUGUUGCUGACGCUGAGGCGCGACAGCGUGGGGAGCAAACGAGG
rnacentral:rRNA from 1 species